rnacentral:rRNA from 1 species
UACGGGGGGUGCGAGCGUUGUCCGGAAUCACUGGGCGUAAAGGGCGCGUAGGUGGUCUGAUAAGGGUGUGGUGAAAGCCCGGGGCUCAACCCCGGGUCGGCCGUGCCGACUGUUGGACUAGAGUGCUGUAGGGGCAGGCGGAAUUCCGGGUGUAGCGGUGAAAUGCGUAGAUAUCUGGAGGAAUACCGGUGGCGAAGGCGGCAUCCUGGACCGAGAUUGACACUGAUGAGCGAAAGCUAGGGGAGCAAACGGG